rnacentral:rRNA from 1 species
GACGAACGCUGGCGGCGCGCUUAACACAUGCAAGUCGAACGGAAAGGCCUGCUUUCCCUUGUGGAUUGCGGGUACUCGAGUGGCGAACGGGUGAGUAACACGUGAGUGAUCUGCCCCCAACUUGGGUAUAAGCCUGGGAAACUGGGUCUAAUUCCCGAUAGGACUGCAGGGUGGUGCCUGUGGUGGAAAACGAUUUUCUAGUGGUUGGGGAUGAGCUCGCGGCCUAUCAGCUUGUUGGUGGGGUAAUGGCCUACCAAGGCGGCGACGGGUAGCCGGCCUGGGAGGGUGGACGGCGACAUUGGGACUGAGAUACGGCCCAGACGCCUACGGGAGGCAGCAGUGGGGAAUAUUGCGCAAUGGGCGGAAGCCUGAUGCAGCGACGCCGCGUGGGGGAUGACGGCCUUCGGGUUGUAAACUCCUUUCGACCGCGAGGAAGCCACCUGGUUGGAAGGGUGGUGACGGUAGUGGUAGAAGAAGCACCGGCUAACUACGUG